UUUGAUCCUGGCUCAGAACGUACGCUGGCGGCACGCCUAACACAUGCAAGUCGAACGAAGUAGCAAUACUUAGUGGCAGACGGGUGAGUAACAUGUAGGUAUCUGCCCUUUGGCCUGGAAUAACACGAGGAAACUUGUGCUAAUACCGGAUAAGUCUUUACGGAGAAAGCUUUACGCACCAUUGGAUGAGCCUGCACUUGAUUAGUUUGUUGGUGGGGUAAUGGCCUACCAAGACUGUGAUCAAUAGCUGAUUUGAGAGGAUGAUCAGCCACAUUGGGACUGAGACACGGCCCAAACUCCUACGGGAGGCAGCAGUAAGGAAUCUUGCACAAUGGAGGAAACUCUGAUGCAGCGAUGCCGCGUGAGUGAUGAAGGCCCUAGGGUUGUAAAACUCUUUCGCCAGGGAAGAUAAUGACGGUACCUGGUAAAGAAACCCCGGCUAACUCCGUGCCAGCAGCCGCGGUAAUACGGAGGGGGUUAGCGUUGUUCGGAAUUACUGGGCGUAAAGCGCACGUAGGCGGACUAGUCAGUCAGAGGUGAAAUCCCGAGGCUCAACCUCGGAACUGCCUUUGAUACUGCUAGUCUAGAGUUCGAGAGAGGUGAGUGGAAUUCCGAGUGUAGAGGUGAAAUUCGUAGAUAUUAGAAAGAAUACCAAUUGCGAAGGCAGCUUUCUGGAUCAUUACUGACACUGAGGAACGAAAGCAUGGGUAGCGAAGAGGAUUAGAUACCCUCGUAGUCCAUGCCGUAAACGAUGUGUGUUAGACGUUGGAAAUUUAUUUUCAGUGUCGCAGCGAAAGCGAUAAACACACCGCCUGGGGAGUACGACCGCAAGGUUAAAACUCAAAUGAAUUGACGGGGACCCGCACAAGUAGUGGAGCAUGUGGUUUAAUUCGAAGAUACGCGCAGAACCUUACCAACACUUGACAUGUUCGUCGCGACUUUAAGAGAUUAAAGUUUUCGGUUCGGCCGGACGAAACACAGGUGCUGCAUGGCUGUCGUCAGCUCGUGUCGUGGGAUGUUGGGUUAAGUCCCGCAACGAGCGCAACCCUCACUUUUAGUUGCCAUCAUUUAGUUGGGCACUCUGAAAGAACUGCCAGUGAUAAGCUGGAGGAAGGUGGGGAUGACGUCAAGUCCUCAUGGCCCUUACGUGUUGGGCUACACACGUGCUACAAUGGUAUCUACAACAGGAAGCAAAACAGCGAUGUUAAGCAAAUCCUCAAAAGAUACCUCAGUUCGGAUUGCACUCUGCAACUCGAGUGCAUGAAGCUGGAAUUACUAGUAAUCGUGGGUCAGCGUGCCACGGUGAAUGCGUUCCCGGGUCUUGUACACACCGCCCGUCACACCAUGGGAGUUGGUUCUACCUUAAGGCAAGGCAUAAAACCCUUGACCACGGUAUAGUCAGCGACUGGGGUGAAGUCGUAACAAGGUAACC
rnacentral:rRNA from 1 species